rnacentral:rRNA from 1 species
GACGAACGUUGGCGGCGUGCUUAAUACAUGCAAGUCAACUGAAGCAGUGGUAGCAAUAUCGCUGUGGAGGUGGCGCACGGGCGAGUAACACGUAGGUAAUCUGCCUUCAGGUCUGGCAUAACUCCGGGAAACCGGGGCUAAUAGCAGAUGAUGCAGCGGCUCGACAUCGAGACAGUUGUUAAAGCUAUGGCGCCUGAAGAUGAGCCUGCGUCUGAUUAGCUAGUUGGCGGGGUAACGGCCCACCAAGGCAACGAUCAGUAGCUGGUCUGAGAGGAUGAUCAGCCACACUGGAACUGAGACACGGUCCAGACUCCUACGGGAGGCAGCAGUAAGGAAUAUUGCUCAAUGGGAGAAAUCCUGAAGCAGCAACGCCGCGUGAGGGACGAAGGGCUUUUGCUUGUAAACCUCUGUAGUGAGAGAAAAAAAUCCCAAUCUUUGGGACAUGAUGGUAUCUCAAAAGUAAGCCCCGGCUAACUACGUG